CAGGAAUCAAUGUAGGAUGACGUACCUUCGGUUCUGGAUCACAGGGAACCUCCAGGAAGGCCGGGAGAUGCAGUCAUUGACGGAUCAAUCAAAAAAUCGACUAAAAAUCAAAAAAAAUCAGGAAAUGCAGGAAGAAAUAGAAAAUAUUCGGUCAACAUCUGGAAACAAGUCUAAGGUCGUGUUACUCUAGCUGCAGGGCGUCAAAAUCUCACAGGACAUGAAGAAAGUCCACUCAUUCAUUAAAAAUUAGA
rnacentral:misc_RNA from 1 species